rnacentral:rRNA from 1 species
UACGUAGGGCGCAAGCGUUGUCCGGAAUUAUUGGGCGUAAAGAGCUCGUAGGCGGUUUGUCGCGUCUGCUGUGAAAACCUAAGGCUCAACCUUGGGCUUGCAGCCGAUACGGGCAGGCUAGAGUUCGGUAGGGGAGACUGGAAUUCCUGGUGUAGCGGUGAAAUGCGCAGAUAUCAGGAGGAACACCGGUGGCGAAGGCGGGUCUCUGGGCCGAUACUGACGCUGAGGAGCGAAAGCGUGGGGAGCGAACAGG